GCCUUUCUAUUUACAAAUCUUGUUAUACAUAUGGCAAGGAUAAACCAUAAGACCAUCAAUCUCGUUCAACGCGUUUAUAAAUUCAUUUUCCACCGAUAGGUCAUCAUUUUCAACAAUAUCAAUCGCAAUAUUCAUGUGGAAAGCAUCUUCAUCAAAUAACAUUGUCAGUUCCUCGCUGCAUGACGAUGGGCCAGACGGCUUUACACUCGACGUUAUUUCUUCCAUUUCUUCCAAAACUCCCUCAGAAGUUUCCUCCAUUUCAAUUUCGGCUAUAUCGUCCUUUUAAAAACACUUUUUUAUAAGAUUUUUGUUGAACGCAUUAAUAAUCUUAAGUACUUCGCUCGAGAGCAUGCACACUAUUUGACACGUGACUUUCACUUCCUUUGUGGCGCAACAUUUUUGCCGCCGCUCUUUGAAGUUCGCCGGCUUUCCAAACCAUC